rnacentral:rRNA from 1 species
AUUGAACGCUGGCGGCAUGCCUUACACAUGCAAGUCGAACGGUAACAGGUCUUCGGAUGCUGACGAGUGGCGAACGGGUGAGUAAUACAUCGGAACGUGCCCGAUCGUGGGGGAUAACGAGGCGAAAGCUUUGCUAAUACCGCACACGAUCUACGGAUGAAAGCGGGGGAUCUUCGGACCUCGCGCGGACGGAGCGGCCGAUGGCAGAUUAGGUAGUUGGUGGGAUAAAAGCUUACCAAGCCGACGAUCUGUAGCUGGUCUGAGAGGAUGAUCAGCCACACUGGGACUGAGACACGGCCCAGACUCCUACGGGAGGCAGCAGUGGGGAAUUUUGGACAAUGGGCGAAAGCCUGAUCCAGCCAUGCCGCGUGCAGGAUGAAGGCCUUCGGGUUGUAAACUGCUUUUGUACGGAACGAAAAGCCUCUUUCUAAUAAAGAGGGGUCAUGACGGUACCGUAAGAAUAAGCACCGGCUAACUACGUG